rnacentral:lncRNA from 1 species
AUUCCCACUUACUACAUAGGUGGGGCUGAAAACAUUCCCACAUACUACAUAGGUGGGGCUUACUACAAAGGUGGGGCUGAAAACAUUCCCACAUACUACAUUGGUGGGGCUUACUACAAAGGUGGGGCUGAAAACAUUCCCACAUACUACAUGGGUGGGGCUUACUACAAAGGUGGGGCUGAAAACAUUCCCACAUACUACAUUGGUGGGGCUUACUACAAAGGUGGGGCUGAAAACAUUCCCACAUACUACAUGGGUGGGGCUUACUACAAAGGUGGGGCUGAAAACAUUCCCACAUAC